GCUGCCAUGGGAUUCGUAGGCCAUUAUGUUUUGCAAGCCAUGAAGCAUAUGAAGCCUCAAGUAAAACAAGUUUUUCAAAGUCUACCAAAAUCUGCCUUCAGUGGUGGCUAUUACAGAGGUGGGUUUGAAUUAAAAAUGACAAAACAGAAGGCAGCAUCAAUACCAGGUCUAAGGCCUACUGCCAAUAAAGGGAAAGUAUGAGAUGCUCAUUAAUGAAUGAUGCUCUUAAACAAUCCAAGUGAAAGAGGAUCUCCUUACACAGCAGCCAAAAGAAGAGAAG
rnacentral:lncRNA from 1 species